rnacentral:rRNA from 1 species
CAGCAGCCGCGGUAAUACGUAGGUCCCGAGCGUUGUCCGGAUUUAUUGGGCGUAAAGCGAGCGCAGGCGGUUUGAUAAGUCUGAAGUUAAAGGCUGUGGCUCAACCAUAGUUCGCUUUGGAAACUGUCAAACUUAAGUGCAGAAGGGGAGAGUGGAAUUCCAUGUGUAGCGGUGAAAUGCGUAGAUAUAUGGAGGAACACCGGUGGCGAAAGCGACUCUCUGGUCUGUAACUGACGCUGAGGAGCGAAAGCGUGGGGAGCGAACAGGAUUAGAUACCCCAGUAGUCCCUGUCUCUUAUACA